UGAGUAACACGUAUCCAACCUGCCGUCUACUCUUGGACAGCCUUCUGAAAGGAAGAUUAAUACAAGGUGGCAUCAUGAGUCCGCAUGUUCACAUGAUUAAAGGUAUUCCGGUAGACGAUGGGGAUGCGUUCCAUUAGAUAGUAGGCGGGGUAACGGCCCACCUAGUCUUCGAUGGAUAGGGGUUCUGAGAGGAAGGUCCCUCACAUUGGAACUGAGACACGGUCCAA
rnacentral:rRNA from 1 species